rnacentral:rRNA from 1 species
ACACAUGCAGUCGAACGAGCCUUCGGGCUAGUGGCGGACGGGUGAGUAACGCGUGGGAACUGCCCUCAGGAGGGGGAUAACGGCCGGAAACGGCCGCUAAUACCCCAUAUGCCGAGAGGUGAAAUGAAUUUCGCCUGAGGAUGAGCCCGCGUCUGAUUAGCUAGUUGGUGGGGUAAUGGCCCACCAAGGCGACGAUCAGUAGCUGGUCUGAGAGGAUGAUCAGCCACACUGGGACUGAGACACGGCCCAGACUCCUACGGGAGGCAGCAGUGGGGAAUUUUCCGCAAUGGGCGAAAGCCUGACGGAGCAACGCCGCGUGAGGGAUGAAGGCCUCUGGGCUGUAAACCUCUUUUCUCAAGGAAGAAGACAUGACGGUACUUGAGGAAUAAGCCACGGCUAAUUCCGUGCCAGCAGCCGCGGUAAUACGGGAGUGGCAAGCGUUAUCCGGAAUUAUUGGGCGUAAAGCGUCCGCAGGCGGCCUUGUAAGUCUGUCGUUAAAGCGUGGAGCUUAACUCCAUUUCAGCGAUGGAAACUACAAGGCUUGAGUGUGGUAGGGGCAGAGGGAAUUCCCGGUGUAGCGGUGAAAUGCGUAGAUAUCGGGAAGAACACCAGUGGCGAAGGCGCUCUGCUGGGCCAUAACUGACGCUCAUGGACGAAAGCCAGGGGAGCGAAAGGGAUUAGAUACCCCUGUAGUCCUGGCCGUAAACGAUGAACACUAGGUGUCGGGGGAAUCGACCCCCUCGGUGUCGUAGCUAACGCGUUAAGUGUUCCGCCUGGGGAGUACGCACGCAAGUGUGAAACUCAAAGGAAUUGACGGGGGCCCGCACAAGCGGUGGAGUAUGUGGUUUAAUUCGAUGCACGCGAAGAACCUUACCAGGUUUGACAUCCUGCGAAUCCCUUGGAACGAGGGAGUGCCUUCGGGAGCGCAGAGACAGGUGGUGCAUGGCUGUCGUCAGCUCGUGUCGUGAGAUGUUGGGUUAAGUCCCGCAACGAGCGCAACCCACGUCUUUAGUUGCCAGCAUUCAGUUGGGCACUCUAGAGAGACCGCCGGUGAUAAACCGGAGGAAGGUGUGGAUGACGUCAAGUCAUCAUGCCCCUUACAUCCUGGGCUACACACGUACUACAAUGCUACGGACAAAGGGUUGCAAGYUCKYKAGAGUUAGCUAAUCCCAUAAACCGUGGCUCAGUUCAGAUCGUAGGCUGCAACUCGCCUACGUGAAGGAGGAAUCGCUAGUAAUCGCAGGUCAGCAUACUGCGGUGAAUACGUUCCCGGGCCUUGUACACACCGCCCGUCACACCAUGGAAGUUGGCCAUGCCCGAAGUCGUUACUCCAACCCUUGUGGAGGAGGACGCCGAAGGUGGGGCUGAUGACUGGGGUGAAGUCGUAACAAGGUAGCCGUACCGGAAGGUGCGGCUGGAUCACCUCCU